UUUCAACUCUUUCGCUGUGAUAACACGCUUUGUCAAUAGUAAUUUAUUAUAACUCUAAAAAUGUAAUGUGUUUGAAAUGUGAAGUUAAGCUUGGCGAGAUACACCAAAAAGUUGGGGAGAUUUUCUGAGAAGUCGGUAGUGCCUUCAAUAAAUAGUCGAAAUGGCAAUAACCUUACAGCUGGUUGCCGAUUUACUUCCACACGACAAAUGGAUGGACGUGGAAAACGAGAUGCAUUGUUCCAGCGUCCAUCGUUUUGCCGUUGACUGGAACAAGCUGAGUCAACACAUCAAGAACUGCUCUCACAGGCACUUCUACGAAUGCAAAACAUCUCCAUUAUUCAGGUCUCCAAUUCAAACGGCAUUGAAAUAGAAAGCUUUCGAGUUCGUCGGUCUUCCGAAAUGGCAGGUACCGCUGAUCAAGCUGAACGCCCCAAAGAUCGCAAUAAAUUUCGAAAGCUUUAAUAUCAAUGUUAAGUUGGAGUUUGCUACCAACAGUGAAGAACUAACCACAGGAGUUACGACUGGCUUCUCAUAAAAUCGCCGAGGAAUAGUCAAGACAGCGUGUUAUGACGCGGAUGAUUUGAGGAUCGUCAAAUAGUCCCCCAUUCGCCCUUUCAUAUAUAAUACUUUCUAUACUUGAUUACCAAUAAUUUUCAUUAAUAAUAUUAUUAAUUAAAAUUAAAUCCAUCGCAGCUUGUACUUCAUUCACAGGGACAUCACGAGCAACAUGUUUGAUUUUAUUGGUCCGUGUCUUUAUUAUUAGCAUUGCAAUCUUGGUUCUUCCCAAUCCCAUGUUUUUUUUUAAAUUUAUCUAUUUAAUUGACGGCUAUCUUAUUUAUACUAUUAAGUCAUUAAAUUUUGUUUAUUCAGAUAGGUUUCCAGUUUUUGUAUCAGCAUGCUAUUUGACGAGGCUAGGACUUAGUAUGUAAGUUUUAUCAAUAAUUUAAUUUAUUUAAUAACCUGAAUAUACAAAUCAUGUUGUCG